UCUUUUCUAUAAUAAAAUAAUAUGUAUUAUGAUAAAAAAAUUAAAGAUCACUUUCAACAACGGAUCUCUUGGCUCUCGCAUCGAUGAAGAACGUAGCGAAGUGCGAUAAGUAGUGUGAAUUGCAGAAUUCCGUGAAUCAUCGAAUCUUUGAACGCAAAUUGCACUCUCUGGUAUUCCGGGGAGUAUGCCUGUUUGAGGGUCAGUUUAAAUAAAAAUCGGUGUGUUGCUUUUUGUAACGCCUCGGAUUUGGGUUAUCUUAGCCUUUGGGUUAAGAGACCUAAAAUUGACUUUUUUUGUGCAUUUUUAUAGACGUACAUAAGAUAUUUUUUUAUUCGUCUUGGAAUGCCAAAUUUAUUAGGUAUGAUCAUGUUGUGUGAUUUCGUACCUAUAGGUUUCAUCAUCUGACCUCAAAUCAGGUAGGGACACCCGCUGAACUUAAGCAUAUCAAUAAGCGGAGGAAAAGAAAAUAACAAUGAUUCCCCUAGUAACUGCGAGUGAAGAGGGACAAGCUCAAAUUUUAAAUCUGUUAGGUAUCACCUGGCCGAGUUGUAAUUUGAAGAAGCGUUUUCUGCGCUCUUGAUCAGCCCAAGUCCUAUUGAAUGAGGCAUCAUGGAGGGUGAUAAUCCCGUCCGGUUGAUCAAUGCGUUUUAUGAUACGCUUUCAAAGAGUCAAGUUGUUUGGGAUUGCAGCUUAAAAUGGGAGGUAAAUUUCUCCUAAGGCUAAAUAUUGAAGGGAGACCGAUAGCGAACAAGUACCGUGAGGGAAAGAUGAAAAGAACUUG
rnacentral:rRNA from 1 species